rnacentral:rRNA from 1 species
UUGCACGCUGGCGGCAGGCCUAACACAUGCAAGUCGCACGGUAACAGGAAGAAGCUUGCUUCUUUGCUGACGAGUGGCGGACGGGUGAGUAAUGUCUGGGAAACUGCCUGAUGGAGGGGGAUAACUACUGGAAACGGUAGCUAAUACCGCAUAACGUCGCAAGACCAAAGAGGGGGACCUUCGGGCCUCUUGCCAUCGGAUGUGCCCAGAUGGGAUUAGCUAGUAGGUGGGGUAACGGCUCACCUAGGCGACGAUCCCUAGCUGGUCUGAGAGGAUGACCAGCCACACUGGAACUGAGACACGGUCCAGACUCCUACGGGAGGCAGCAGUGGGGAAUAUUGCACAAUGGGCGCAAGCCUGAUGCAGCCAUGCCGCGUGUAUGAAGAAGGCCUUCGGGUUGUAAAGUACUUUCAGCGGGGAGGAAGGGAGUAAAGUUAAUACCUUUGCUCAUUGACGUUACCCGCAGAAGAAGCACCGGCUAACUCCGUG